UCACCUGUUCGUGGAACUGAAGCAGACGACAGCUUGCAGAAGAAGAUGGGAGCGUUCUACCUGUGAGCCUGGUCGAGUUUAUAUUUUAUGGAUACACAUGCAUGGAUACACCAUACAUGGAUUCCCUACAAGGACCCUGCGCAUCAAAAGCAAUCUGUCAUCAAUGUUAAGUAGAUAGAUUAAAUGAAACGAAGAUUUGACAGGUGUACACCAUAUUUUUCUUUCAUUUAACCUCUGCAUGUUUCCCAGUCAAUAAAUGUUUUUAUCCAUUUUC
rnacentral:lncRNA from 1 species